GUUCUUGUAGUUAAACAUAUAUAACAGCGGUUUUUCAGGCCGCAGGUCUCAGAGAGAAGCUGGGCAGGAACA
rnacentral:tRNA from 1 species